rnacentral:rRNA from 1 species
AGUGAACGCUGGCGGUAGGCCUAACACAUGCAAGUCGAACGGCAGCACAGUAAGAGCUUGCUCUUACGGGUGGCGAGUGGCGGACGGGUGAGGAAUACAUCGGAAUCUACUUUUUCGUGGGGGAUAACGUAGGGAAACUUACGCUAAUACCGCAUACGACCUACGGGUGAAAGCAGGGGAUCUUCGGACCUUGCGCGAUUGAAUGAGCCGAUGUCGGAUUAGCUAGUUGGCGGGGUAAAGGCCCACCAAGGCGACGAUCCGUAGCUGGUCUGAGAGGAUGGUCAGCCACAGUGGAACUGAGACACGGACCAGACUCCUACGGGAGGCAGCAGAGGGGAAUAUUGGACAAUGGGCGCAAGCCUGAUCCAGCCAUACCGCGUGGGUGAAGAAGGCCUUCGGGUUGUAAAGCCCUUUUGUUGGGAAAGAAAAGCAGCAGGUUAAUACCCCGCUGUUCUGACGGUACCCAAAGAAUAAGCACCGGCUAACUUCGUG